rnacentral:rRNA from 1 species
AUAUCAAUAAGCGGAGGAAAAGAAACUAACAAGGAUUCCCCUAGUAACGGCGAGUGAAGCGGGAAAAGCUCAGGCUGAAACCUCGGGGAUGUAGUCUGCAGAAGUAAAGGUCAGGGAUAAAGGUGAUACUGAAGUCGUCUGAGAUGACGCGCCAAAGAGGGUGAUAGCCCCGUUCUAAGUAUCGCGUCUUGUCCAACACCUUGCUUCGAAGAGUCGAGUUGUUUGGGAUUGCAGCUCUAAUGGGUGGUAAAUUCCAUCUAAAGCUAAAUAUGGUGGGAGACCGAUAGCGCACAAGUA